AACAGACGAGGAGCUUGCUCCUCUGACGUUAGCGGCGGACGGGUGAGUAACACGUGGAUAACCUACCUAUAAGACUGGGAUAACUUCGGGAAACCGGAGCUAAUACCGGAUAAUAUAUUGAACCGCAUGGUUCAAUAGUGAAAGACGGUUUUGCUGUCACUUAUAGAUGGAUCCGCGUCGCAUUAGCUAGUUGGUAAGGUAACGGCUUACCAAGGCAACGAUGCGUAGCCGACCUGAGAGGGUGAUCGGCCACACUGGAACUGAGACACGGUCCAGACUCCUACGGGAGGCAGCAGUAGGGAAUCUUCCGCAAUGGGCGAAAGCCUGACGGAGCAACGCCGCGUGAGUGAUGAAGGUCUUCGGAUCGUAAAACUCUGUUAUUAGGGAAGAACAAAUGUGUAAGUAACUAUGCACGUCUUGACGGUACCUAAUCAGAAAGCCACGGCUAACUACGUGCCAGCAGCCGCGGUAAUACGUAGGUGGCAAGCGUUAUCCGGAAUUAUUGGGCGUAAAGCGCGCGUAGGCGGUUUUUUAAGUCUGAUGUGAAAGCCCACGGCUCAACCGUGGAGGGUCAUUGGAAACUGAAAAACUUGAGUGCAGAAGAGGAAAGUGGAAUUCCAUGUGUAGCGGUGAAAUGCGCAGAGAUAUGGAGGAACACCAGUGGCGAAGGCGACUUUCUGGUCUGUAACUGACGCUGAUGUGCGAAAGCGUGGGGAU
rnacentral:rRNA from 1 species